GCACCCGUAGUUCAAUGGAUAGAAUAAGGGCUUGCGGAGCCUUUGAUGAUGGUUCGAUUCCAUCCGGGUGCA
rnacentral:tRNA from 1 species